rnacentral:misc_RNA from 1 species
AACGCACAUUGCGCCCGCCAGCAUUCUGGCGGGCAUGCCUGUCCGAGCGUCAUUACCACCCGUCAAGCCCUGCUUGCGUUGGGGACCCGCGGCCGCCGCGGGCCCUGAAAACCAGUGGCGGGACCGCCCCGGCGCCGAGCGUAGUAGCAACGCCUCGCUCCGGUGCCCCGGCGGACCCCCGGCCCAGACCACCGCGCCCCCGCGCGCGACAUCGUGUUGACCUCGGAUCAGGUAGGAAUACCCGCUGAACUUAA